GACAGAGGGUGCAACCGUUGCUCGGAAUUACUGGGCGUAAAGCGCGUGUAGGUGGAUUGGUGUGUCAGAUGUGAAAUCCCUCGGCUCAACUGAGGAAGUGCAUCCGAAACUGGCAGGCUUGAGUACUAAAGAGGGUCGCGGAAUUCCCGGUGUAGAGGUGAAAUUCGUAGAUAUCGGGAGGAACACCGGUGGCGAAGGCGGCGACCUGGGUAGAUACUGACGCUGAGGUGCGAAAGCGUGGGGAGCAAACAGG
rnacentral:rRNA from 1 species